AGUGAACGCUGGCGGUAGGCCUAACACAUGCAAGUCGAACGGCAGCACAGGAGAGCUUGCUCUCUGGGUGGCGAGUGGCGGACGGGUGAGGAAUACAUCGGAAUCUACUUUUUCGUGGGGGAUAACGUAGGGAAACUUACGCUAAUACCGCAUACGACCUACGGGUGAAAGCAGGGGACCUUCGGGCCUUGCGCGAUUGAAUGAGCCGAUGUCGGAUUAGCUAGUUGGCGGGGUAAAGGCCCACCAAGGCGACGAUCCGUAGCUGGUCUGAGAGGAUGAUCAGCAACACUGGAACUGAGACACGGUCCAGACUCCUACGGGAGGCAGCAGUGGGGAAUAUUGGACAAUUGGCGCAAGCCUGAUCCAGCCAUACCGCGUGGGUGAAGAAGGCCUUCGGGUUGUAAAGCCCUUUUGUUGGGAAAGAAAUCCAGCUGGCUAAUACCCGGUUGGGAUGACGGUACCCAAAGAAUAAGCACCGGCUAACUUCGUGCCAGCAGCCGCGGUAA
rnacentral:rRNA from 1 species